rnacentral:rRNA from 1 species
UUCGAAGGGGGCUAGCGUUGCUCGGAAUCACUGGGCGUAAAGCGCACGUAGGCGGCUUUCUAAGUCAGGGGUGAAAUCCUGGAGCUCAACUCCAGAACUGCCUUUGAUACUGAGAAGCUUGAGUCCGGGAGAGGUGAGUGGAACUGCGAGUGUAGAGGUGAAAUUCGUAGAUAUUCGCAAGAACACCAGUGGCGAAGGCGGCUCACUGGCCCGGUACUGACGCUGAGGUGCGAAAGCGUGGGGAGCAAACAGG